rnacentral:rRNA from 1 species
AUUGAACGCUGGCGGCAUGCCUUACACAUGCAAGUCGAACGGUAACAGGUCUUCGGAUGCUGACGAGUGGCGAACGGGUGAGUAAUACAUCGGAACGUGCCUAGUAGUGGGGGAUAACUACUCGAAAGAGUGGCUAAUACCGCAUGAGAUCUACGGAUGAAAGCAGGGGAUCGCAAGACCUUGUGCUACUAGAGCGGCCGAUGGCAGAUUAGGUAGUUGGUGGGAUACAAGCUUACCAAGCCGACGAUCUGUAGCUGGUCUGAGAGGACGAUCAGCCACACUGGGACUGAGACACGGCCCAGACUCCUACGGGAGUCAGCAGUGGGGAAUUUUGGACAAUGGGCGCAAGCCUGAUCCAGCAAUGCCGCGUGCAGGAUGAAGGCCUUCGGGUUGUAAACUGCUUUUGUACGGAACGAAAAGCCCUGGAUUAAUACCCUGGGGUCAUGACGGUACCGUAAGAAUAAGCACCGGCUAACUACGUGCCAGCCGCCGCAGUAACAC